GCUGUAUUGUAUUCAGCCGAUCGGCAAUCCUCUGCGCUUCCUCACCAGGCUGACUGAGGGAAGAGCGAGCAUCUGACGUCACUGGGCUCGGCGCAUGCCCAGUGACAAAGAUGAAGCUCCUGCCCUCAGUCUCCUGCAGAUCGCACUGGCGC